rnacentral:rRNA from 1 species
AACCUGCGGAAGGAUCAUUGUCGAAGCCUGCCCAACAGAAUGACCCGUGAACAUGUUUAUAAAUCGAUGGGCUGCUGCAGGAUUUAUCCAGCAUCAGCACGUCAUUAGGGCGCGAGCAGGGGAUGCGAGUGCUGGCAUUUGUCUUGCCCUCGUGAUGUCCUGUUCGCGGCCUGCUAACCAAACCCCGACGCCGUACGCGUCAAGGAACUACAAUCAAAAAAGUUUGCACGCCCCUAGCUCACUGGAAACAGUGUGCACACAGGAUGCGUUGCUCUGUGUUAACAAAAACGACUCUCGGCAACGGAUAUCUCGGCUCUCGCAUCGAUGAAGAACGCAGCGAAAUGCGAUACUUGGUGUGAAUUGCAGGAUCCCGCGAACCAUCGAGUCUUUGAACGCAAGUUGCGCCCUAAGCCUUUCGGCCGAGGGCACGUCUGCCUGGGUGUCAUUCAACUGUCGCUCUAGCCCCUUCCAAUUAGAAGGGGCAUGCAGGGCGGAUGUUGGCCUCCCGUGUGCUCUUUGCUACCGGUUGGCCCAAAUGUCUGGUGACGGGCAAAGUUGCCACAGAAAUCGGUGGAUGUAAAGCACUCACAAAAAUCUGUGCGCAAUCGAAAGCCCAUUCACACCAAUGAGACCCCAAAAUGUACCUACACACUGCGACCCCAGGUCAGGCGGGAUUACCCGCUGAGUUUAA